GUGUGUGUGUGUGUGUUCUGGUGAAGCUGUGAAUGAAGGACAUUUUUAAAAAACCAUUAGAAAUGGCUGAUAAAAUAACAAUUUAUACUUCCUCCUAUGUUAUCAAAAAUGGAUGACAUUUUUUAACCCACCACAUAUACUAAAUAUGGAUAAUUUGUUCCUGCACCCUUAGUUCCAAGGGUUUCACAAAACAAAUAAAAUAAAGAUACUCAAAAGGACUUCUGUCCUAACACAUAUAUAGGAAAAAUAUGCUGGGUACAGGAAGUAAAAGGUUUCAGUACAAAAUAUUCAGCCUCCUCAGUGGAAAAGAACCUUCCACAACACAGAUCAAUAACAGGCUGCUUCCUGUUUACUCUGCCUGACUGGGGACUUUACUAUAAAACCUGAUUCCUGUUAUCAGCAAGAAGCUGAUUUGGCUGCUCCAAGGAGAGUCAUCCAAAUUAAAGAUCCACCAAGUCACAGCUUGAAUGAUCCUAGCUCAUGUACACAGAAAGCUCUAGAGCCUCUCCUUGUCCAUCGGGAGGACUCUGUCUUGAAGAAUGGCCUGAUUCAACUUAAACUGCUCAUCUAGGCAGCAAAUAACAGAUUCCCACAACAGGGACACAUUGACAUUCCAAUCAAUAGAAAACCAGAGAAAAUUCAAAAGGGUAUUAGUGCCUUGUUCUGGGUUUUAGGAUUCACUCCAUCAAGCUCCUCUUUGUGGAAAAGUAGGUGGCCUUUUGUAUGCUUUAAUAAACCACAGAAAAGUAUGCACUUAGGCUGGGCAUGGUGACUCACGCCUGUACUCCCAGCACUUUGGGAGGCCAAGGUGGGAGGGUCACUUGAGGUCAGGAGUUUGAGACCAGCCUGGCUAACAUGGUGAAACCUUGUCUCUACUAAAAAUACAAAAAUGAGCCAGGUGUGGUGGCAGGCAACUGUAAAUCCCACCUACUCGGGAGGCUGAGGUAGGAGAAUCACUUGAACCCAGGAGGCAGAGGUUGCAGUGAGCCAAGAUCACACCACUGCACUCCAGCCUGGGCGACAGAGGGAGACUCUGUCUCAAAAAAAUUAAAAAAAAAAAAUAUGCACUUAGUGCCUAAUGUACAGAGGGUGCUGAGUUGUCCCAUGAAGAUACAGUGUUGUGCAUUGGAUGACAUGCUUGCUGGGGAGAAUGCAGGAGAGGUCACAAGGCACUCCAGGCAAAUGCCCAUGGAGUAAAAAGUUCUAAGAGCUACUACAGCAGAGGGGUGGGUGGGGCUUGAGACAGGUAAAAAAACAUCAAAGGGAAAGGAGGGAUUGGAUCCAUAUUGAUUCUUUCCAUUAAAAGACUUCAGACACAAAGUGUCCUUGGCUUCUCACCUUGAGGAGGGAGAAGGGCCAAUUGUACUUCAUCUGUGCUCUUCCAAAAGAGGAGACAGAGGCCCAGCCUAGGUUUCUGGCUAGGUUUCUCGACUAGAAGAGGUGGAGGCUUCCUGGAAGGAGGUCUGGACCUAGUUUGGAUAGGAAGGGAUGGCAGGAAGGAGAAAGGUAGGCAGUGCUCAGAACCUAUCUGCCACUCAUGUGGAAAAUGCACUACAGUGGAAAGAAUCAGGGAGUGGACCUGAGUUUCAAAAUCCUGCUCCACUUUCCCUGGCUGGAUGACCCUGGGUAAAUCAUAGUCCUUUCCAAAUCUCAGUUCCCUCGACUGUAAAAUGGGGUCAUGCCUGCCAUGAUAGGGGGCCUGUUAACAUUAAAUAAUGCAUUUAAAACUUGAAACACAAUCUCUUGCUCAUAAAUGAUCAAUAAAUGCUAGAUCCCACCUGAAUUUCCUCACAGCAUCUUGCCACACACUAGAAUAACAAUUACAAGGACCACAGCCUCGUAAUUGACCAACAAAAGCUGUUGUUGGUCUCUCUGGCAGACAAGAUGGUUAGUUUGUGGUUUAGGAAAUAUAUUCUUCCUAUUAGAAGGUAAUACCAUCUCCUGUUUCAUGUCUUACUGGAUCACCCAUUCCUUAGACCCUUUGUGGGUGCUGAUGGAAUGAAGAAGAGGGAGGAGGGAGGAGUUACAGAAGAAGGAAGUAUUUAUCAAGCCUUUACUCUCUGGACCAGGCCCUCUGGUGGAUGCCUAGUGAGGAAGGCCUAAUGGUGCUCCAGUUUCCUAGGAAACUCUUCUUGGCACCCUCAUACUGGAAGUAUGUGGUUUGUUUUGGGGAACACACAUACAUUUUACACACAUCUUUGACAGUCAUUUGGGCAGGAUGUCUCACUGCCAAUGGCAGGACUAAUAUCGAAGUUGGAUCUUUUUUGGGGGGAAGAUGGGGUCUUGCUACUUUGCUCAGGCCUUGAACUUUUGAUCCUCUCACAUCAGCCUACUGAGUAGCUGAGACUACAGGCACAAGUCACAGUGCUCAGCUUACUGUACUGGGUCUUUUUGAGGUGAAUCUUCACUCAUGUGACAGUCAAAUUUUUACCUUUUAAAACAGACUUCAUGGGCCUUUUCCUUCUUGUUACACUCAUCUAUCAAGACAGAGGAUGCUCUCUGUACUACAAUAGCUGACAUCAACAGCCUUUCCUCCUCAGCUGUCACUCACCAACCAGGCCCAAGGAUUCUCCUCCCUGCAUGCCGGCCCACUGUUUUCCUAGACCAGAGAGAGAGCCCUCUUCUCUCAUGUCUCAAGCCUGCCUCCCGCUUCCAAGAAAGUAAAGAACUUUAUUCAGGGAGUGACAAAGGCAGGUACAUCCAUGCUAACCACAGAAAGUUUCUAUUUCAGUCAUUCUGUCUUCACUCCAGGAGUCCCUAUUGUCUACCCACAUCUCUUAAGCAAUUUACAAAGCUCUGUUAAUUCAUUCACAGCCUGCUCAGCUUCAGGGGCCUUAAGGAGGCAGAAGUCAAACUCAAAAGAGCACGAGCCUUCCAGAGGUUUCAUGAGAGUGGGUUUGGCCAGUCUAAGUCUAGUAGAGCAAUUGGAAGUUGUGCCCUGUUCUUUGGCAACAGAUCAGAUAGAAAAUCCAAUGAGUAAUCAGAGAGUAAGGAAGCCAGGUGGGAAACCAAGAGCAUGCUGAGGAAAUGGGGAGACUGCACAGUCAGGAGGCAACUUGGAGCUUUCUGGAAACUUGAAGCUGCUUCUAGAGUCAGGAGAAGUUGAAGCAAUAGGGGCAGCAUUGUGGACUGUGCUGGGAAAUAGCCAGAGACACCACAGAAGGGCAGCCCAUGAUACCGUCCCUAUUCCGUCAAAGUCUCUAGACUCUAAAAGCACGUCCCCCAUUUACUCAACAUCAAGUUUCCCAAAGGCUCCACAAUAGCUACUUUCUACACUCCUGAUUUCACUGUGAUUUCAGAGAAACGGUUAGUUCUGAGAUCAUUUCCCAAUAGAUGAAAUUUUUGCUAAGAAAUAACAGAUCUCCUUUAAAAAGGCUAAUGAUUUACUCUACCUAAAUUAAGUUGCUUUUUUUUUUUGCUUUUAACAGUCAAUUGACUUUUUUAAUUCUUAAAUUCUUAUUUUAAAUUGUGGUAAAAUACAUAUAACAUAAAUUUACCAUCUUCACGAUUUAUUUUAAGUUCCAGGGUACAUGUGCAGGAAGUGCAGGUUUAUUACAUAGGUAAACGUGUGCCACGGUGGUUUGCCGCACCUAUCAACCCAUCUUCACCUAGGUAUUAAGCCCAACAUACAUUAGCUGUUUUUCCUGAUGCCCUCCCUCCCCCUGCACCCCCAUCUUCACCAUUUUCAAGUAUACAGUCAGUGGCAUUAAUCACAUUCACAUUGUUGUAAAACCAUCACCACCAUCCAUCUCCAGACUUGUUUUUCUUUUGCAAAACUGAAAGUCUACACCCAUUAAAAUCUAGUUUCUUUUUAGUAAGGAAGGUUCACUUUAAUAGACAAAAGUAAGAGAAACAAUUAGUCAAAGAAGAAAGGGAUUAGAGAAUUGAAUGAAGUCAACACAAAGAAAACAAUUAUAUUUAAUCUAUUCUCUCUACUGAUUUCAAAGAAAGAUCUUUAUCAUCUAAAUUGACACUCUAAUCCUGAUAUAAUUUAACUCUCUUUAAUGCACUCUCUUUAGUUUAGUAUAGAGAAACAGUUUAAAGUAUUAACCACAAGGGUUACUUUUGUAAGUGACACAAAGCAAGGUUAACACUUUCUUUGAUAUGUGUUAAGAACAACUAUGUGUAUUUGUGAUAUGAAAUAUUCUACAUGGUGCUAAUUCCAAAUGCUUGAAGUUUUCCUUCUAAGAAUCUUAUCAAACUAGUACUGUGAUACACAGAAGAGACCUUCUGUGCAGUUAGAUAGAAAGUGGUUUUUUUGGUUGUUGUUUUUUGAGGCGGAGUCUCGCUCUGUCACCCAGGCUGGAGUACAGUGGCACAAUCUUGGCUCACUGCAACUUCUGCCUUCCAGAUUCAAGCAAUUCUCCUGCCUCAGCCUCCCAAGUAGCUGGGAUUACAGGCUCACGCCACCAUGCCUGGCUAAUUUUUGUAUGUUUUGUAGAGAUGAAGUUCCACCAUGUUGGCCAGGCUGGUCUUGAACUCCUGACCUCAAGUGAUCUGCCUGCCUCGGCCUCCCGAAGUGCUUGGAUUACAGGUGUAACCCACCACGCCUGGUGCACCACUUACUUUAUUGCUCUUUAAAAUAAUCUAAUUUUAAGAGGUUUGUGUAUAAUGAUAUCUAACAUACAAUUUUGUGAGGGCAGAGCCCAUAUAUAACCACUAAACUGUGCAGAUUUCCUUCCUUUUUAAAGUCAUUCCAUUAGGUGACCUCUAUGAGCAUCCAAUGCCGGUAUUUAUUUGACGUAAUUUCAGUAAUGUGCUCUGCCCAAAUAUUUUCUGUGGUUCAGAGAAGUGAACUAUAGUUCUAGUUAAGGCAAAAGACCUUUGUAAGGAUUCCAGUGUAAGGCGAAGUCCUAAAUUCUGAGGGAUAAUGUUUUCAAGAGAAAAUAAAUUAUUGUACAUUUGGAUAGAUACUCCAGACAACAUGCGUGGGCUAGAGAAAUACUUGCGGUCCUUAGGGUGGUAAGCAGGAGCUCAAGGUUCUAAGAAGGAACACCUGAGACAGGGCCCUGCUGGGGGAAAUCCCAGCGUCCUAGCAGGGGAGGUGAAGAGAACUGACAACUGCUCUCAAUGGGUUUGGAGAUGAAGUGGAAGGUACUAGCAGACAUGGAAAUGGCAGAGCUUGGCCAAGUUAGGGAGGCAAUGGAUACAGUGCAAACACCAACCCCCUCUACCGGUCAUUAAGUAGGCUGUGUGGCCUCAUGCAAGUUACUAACCUCUCUGAGCCUCCAUGUCCUUCCCCAUUCUGUAAAAGAGUUGUUUGGAGAAUAAUAGGAGAUAAUACGUAAAACACAAGAAAAAGUAAAUAGCUAGCUGGAUAGAGAAUUCCUGAAGACACUUGAUGAAGGAUAUCUAUUAUGAUUGAAAAGUAGGUGGGGGGGGUAUCAUUAUCACCUUCAGAGUUUCUCUUUGAAUAGGUCGUUCCCAAAUCUGCAUUAAAAAAUCAUGUUCUAAUUUCCCCACCAAAAGGGUCAAAGUAUAUUAGAAAGAAAAUACAACACAAUUGCAAAUUGUAUUGUAUUUUGGCUUAUGAAUUGGGGAUUAUUUCUAAAUGACAUUCUCAAAGAGCUGUGAAUUACAUUUGUCAGAAUGAGAUGAAACAUGAUGAGGGCAACAAAGGAUUUGUUUCCUCUGCUAUUGGGAGAAACUAUCACAGACGCCACCAGAUAAAACAGGUCUGGUGUCCAGAAUUAGCAGGCUGGAAAAUCACACUGCUGAAUAAAAUAUUCACCUGAAAAAUAUACUCCAAAACCGUGAAGGCUAAAGGUAGUAAGAGGAAACACUGAGCUAUGGACUCAGAAAAUGGCUGACCCAUAAGGAAGCUUCUUACAAGGGAUCCUGGCUGGCAGAGACACAACCAGGGCUGGAAGGUGGAAGCCCGGGGCACUGCUUCCGCACCCCUCCCUCGCCCCACCAUGGCCACGCCUUCUCCAGACUCCCCGCUCCUCACUGCAAUGGACUAAAAAGCUUUCUGAAGCACCUCUGCUCCUCCUCUCCAGAAGGUUACUCAGUUCUGCAAAUGAAAAUACUGCCAAUGAGAGACAGCAAAAAUAAUCACACUGUACACUACUUUACAAAGAAUUUUAUAAAGUACCUAACAUUUUAAUUUUAUUUUUUAAUGGAUAAUGCACUGACAUGACUCAAAUCCAAAGUUAGAUAGAAGAUCCGGGCGCGGUGGCUCACGCCUGUAAUCCCAGCACUUUGGGAGGCCGAGAUGGGAAGAUCACCUGAGGUCAGGAGUUCAAGACCAGCCUGGCCAACAUGGUGAAAACCUGUCUCUACAAAAAUACAAAAAUUAGCUGGGCAUGAUGGCAGGUGCCUGUAAUUCCAGCUACUUGGGAGGCUGAGGCAGGAGAAUUGCUUGAACCCAGGAGGCAGAGGUUGCAGUGAGCCAAGAUCGUGCCACUGCACUCCAGGCUGGGCGACAGAGCAACACUCCAUCUCAAAAGAAAAAAAAAAUUAGGUAGAAGACUAUACAUAGAAAAGUCUGACCUCCACUCCAGCCUCUAGGGGUAAUCAUUUUUCAUUAGUUUCUGUCUACAUUUCCACUGUUUUCCUUCCAGCUAUACUAACGUAUAAAUGACAAAUACAAAUUCCAUAUAUUCAAGGUGUAUGAUGUGAUGAUUUGAUGUAUGUAUACACAGUGAAAUUAUUACCACAACCAAAUUAAUUAACACAUCCUCACCACACUUUGUUACCAUUGCUGUGUGUGUGGUGGGGGAAUGAGGCCACUUAAGAUCUACUCUUCUGGCAAAUUUCAAGUAUAUAAUACAGUAUUAAUUAUAGUCAGCAUGCUAUAUGUUAGGUCCCCAGAAUUUAUUUAUCUUACAACUGAAGUUUGUACCCUUUGACCAACUUCUUUCUUUUUGCAAAUAGUACCAAUAUACAAGAUGUGUAUACAUAUGAUGUGUGUAUUUAUAUUAUAUAGUGAAUAUAUAAUGAAUAUACACACACACGUUCUUACCACACCCUAUUUUACACAAAAAGGAGCACCCAAUAUCCAGUCUUCUUGCACCUUGCUCUCUUCCUUCUCUAUAUCCUACAGAUCUCUCCACACUCACACAUAGAAAUCUUCCUUCUUUGGUUUUGGGUUUUGUUUGUAUAUUUGUUUGUUUGGGGGUUUUUUUGAGACAAGGUCUCAGUCCAUCACCCAGGCUGGAGGGCAGUGGCACAAUCUUGGCUCACUACAGCCUUGAACUUCGGGCUCAAGUAAUUCUUCCACCUCAGCCUCCUGAGUAGCUAGGACUACAGGGGCACACCCCCACGCCCAGCUAAUUUUUGUAUUUUUUGUAGAGUUGCAGUUUUGCCAUGUUACCCAGGCUGGUCUCAAACUCCUGGGUUCAAGCGAUCUGCAUGCCUCGGCCUCCCAAAGUGUUGGGAUUACAGGCAUGAGCCACCGCACCUGGCCCAUUCUUUUUUUUUUUUUUUUUUAAGCUACAUAGUACUCCACUAUGUGCUACACCACAGUCUAUAUUCUACUAGUUCCCUAUUGCUGGACAUUUGGUGUUUACAACCUUUUGGGAUUACAAUAAUGGCACAGGCAAUAACCUAAUACAUAUGCUAUUUCACACUUGUAAAGAUAGAAAGAUGGAAGUGGGAUUGCAUGUGUACUUCUGUGAGAUGAUGCCAAAUUCCUCUUUGCAGAGGUUGUACAGUUCUAAGUUCUACACACUCAUCAGCAAAAUAAAGUUCUGAUUUCUCUUUUGAAAGUUUUGCUCAUUUUAUGUUUUUAUCUCUGUUAUUUUGUGGGUCUCACGCUUUUGUAGCAGGCAUAUUUAUAGAAGGAAUAAUCAGAAGCUGUGUCCUCACUACUUCAAAAGAAUAAAAACACUUCAUUUCACCACUCAGAAGUGUCAAAUUAGUAGUAGAGAUAGCAAGUGCACAACUCUGGAGGAGCUAGACAUUCUGGGAGAUGAAACAGACUUAGACUUUAUGGAAGAAAAGGGAAUUAACAGGCCCUGGAGAAAACAGAAGAUGAGGCGAGCAGAGAAACACUUCCAGAUUCCAAAGCAGAAAUAGUCACAAAGUGAGCCAAGAAGGAUGAGCAAAUUGACUGGACCAAGCAAAAUAUUGUGUAGACUCUCGAGCACAAAGCUUAGAAGUGUAGUUUGAGGCCUGAUUGUAGAAAACCUUAAAUUCCAUAAGGGAUCAUCUAAUCUUUAUGAUUUAGGCGAUACAAAGGGUAACCAGAUGUCCUGGUUUGCCCAGGAUAAUCCUGGUUUAUCCCUUUUGCUCUAGCAUCUCCUUCACUCUCAAGGGACCCAGUUUGGAUGACAAUUACAUAGUUGGUUGUCCUAGCUAUAGGGACCACCAAAAAAUCUGUGGGCAGGAGAGAGAGAUGAAAGUAGUAUUUCAUCAAGAUAAAUCUGAGGGGCUGGGCACAAUGGCUCACACCUGUAAUCCCAACACUUUGGGAGGCCAAGGCAGGAGGAUCACUUGACCCCAGGUGUUUGAGACUAACCUGGGCAACACGGCAAGACCCCAUCUCUAGAAAGAAAAAAUUAGCCAGGAGUGGUGGCACAUGCCUGUAGUCCCAGCUACUCUGGAGGCUAAGGUGGGAGGAUCACUGGAGCCCAGGAGGUCAAAGCUGCAGUGAGCUGAGAUCACACUACUGCACUCCAGCCUGAGUGACAGAGUGAGACCCUGCCUCAAAAACAAAAACAAAAGCAGAUAAAUCUGCAUACUUGAGUAUACAGAAUGGAUAAAAGAAGAGAGGCUGGAGAUAGGGAGAGCAGGACAUCACCAGGCCGAGUAGCAGGAGGAAGGACAGAAGGCCUGACUCUGCUUCAACUAGUUUAGAGCAGGGUCAUUUGUCUAACCUCUCUGAAGCUGCAUUUCCUUAUGUGUAAAAAGAAGACAAUGGAUUGGAUGCAAAAACAUCUUUUCAGUUAUAAUUCUCCAGGGCCCAAGAGAUUAGAGCUGUAACCUAGGUGCUGGGCUAUGUGGAGGAGUGGAAAGGAGAAAAGAUGAAGGGAUGGUGGAGGAGAGGGAGCAGUCAGAACAGUUGUGCCCAAGGAACAGGGAGAGCAGUGUUGCUGACACUGGCAUAUGGAAGAAGUGAAGACCACCAAGCUGCUGUGAGAUACUCCCUGGGCUUAGUUUUAUUAAAUACAUGUGCUGUAUUGAGAUGACUGCAGGCCACUGAAGUGGCGACUGAAAGACACAUAUAGGAGGACACAGUGGUGUGACCAAGCCAAAUGGAAACCAGGGCUAGGAUGGACCACACUUAGAGCCAUCUGGCAAAUGGCCUUAGUGAGGGUUGGUGGUCAUUCACGGUACUCAGGUGUGGUCAAGGAAGAUGGCAGCCAAGACAAUGGGUGAGUAAACCUAUUUUCUGGUGGAAGCAUCUGAGUUUCAGACCAGGCAGCCUGGGAAAGCAGGGCAGGUUUUUAACAGUAAGCCUAGUUGACAGCCCCAGUCUUAAUUGCUAAAUGUUCUGAAGGAAAUCUAUUGCCUUACUCAGGAUGUAUUUAAAGAAAACUCACGCUACCCAGAUGGCCUGGGCUCCAAGAAAGUAUAACAUACAUUGCUUUGGGUUUAUUUCCCCCAAUGACGAAAGGAAUUUUCAGCCAGAACCCCUUACUAAUAGAAGGUCUUUGGUUAACAGACGGCCCUGUAGGUAGGUUUGGAUGGGGGUGGGGGGUGAUCAGUUCCUCCUCAAAUACUAUAGCAUUGGCUCCCUGGACUGCCUAAGUUCUUCUAGGUCCCCUACCCUGAAGCCCACAUGGACAGCUUUCAGAAGAUCAUCGAAGAUCACCUGUGCCAGACCAGCCUGAUGUAGCCAUAAUUUACCUUGACUAGAAAUUGAACUUUAAGUCCUUGAACAAAUGAUCCAUGAGCACCAGCUUCCGGCAGAAGAUACUGGGGAAUGAAAAGAUCCACACAGCUUCCACCACUUCUUUGUCAUGAGAUCAGAAACAAACAACUAAAUCACCUAUAGGCAAGCUGCACUGCAUACACCCAAAAAUCACAAGGUAAAGGUUAAAAUAUUGUGCUUGUGUUAAAAUUGAAAGAACAAAAAAUGCCUGUUGCUCUUCUUUCAAAUGGUCACAUACAAACCUUUUCUUUUAAGAAAGAACACUUGAAAUCGAUAAAGGAACAUUAAAACUAUGUGAGAAUGAGUCAUUACAUUCCAGCUUUAUUAGAUAUAAAGUGUUCUCAUACUGUCACAUGAUUCUGUGAUUCUGAAAUAGACUGUUAUCUGGGGCUUGAGGGUAUAUGUCUCAUUCAUUCACCCAAAAACACCUGGCACACCCAUGGCAUUUAAAUCAAGUUUAUGACAUGGCAGCCUCUUACUGGGUCUAGAGCUGACCACAACCUAAAGGUGAAAGCUCACUGUAACAUCACACCUAAUUGUUAAUAUGAAAUGAACGAAAAGAAAGAAAAAAGGCAUGUGUUACAAGUCAAAUCACUCUUGUCUGAGAAAUGUCUGCUCUGGCUGUCAGGAACUUAAAUACCAAAGGAAAGGUAAAUUGGAUUAAGUUACAUUUGGAAGAGCAUUCCAGUAAGAGGCUUGGUAACUUCUGAUUGCACUUAAUAGCAUUAAACUGAAUCAGUUUCUAGAUAAUGGUUUUUGCAUACUGCAAGUUGCAUUGAUAGAUUCUGUCCUUACAGAAGGUAUACCUGUGUAAAUAACUAAGAUGAAAUCAGCCUGCAAAGAGAGAAAUGAUGUCAGUAAACCAGUCCAAUUCUCCACAACUGCCUACAAAAAAGGAUAUAGAAAAGAUGAGAAGGGAGACAUCAAUCAUGGCUGUUUAUUUGUUUUUACAAAAACCCAUUCUGAACUUGAGUCACCCAGCUUGCCGUCUUGGCUGUCUGCAAGAUCAGUUCCAACUAAUUGCCCAGUUGUCCCAUUGCCUGUAUCACACAGUCUAUAAAACACAAGCCUAGACUGAAAAGAAAGACAAGAGAAAAGAAAACCCCCAACCAAUAUAUAUAUACAUAUUUUUUUAAGAGAUCACUCAGCUUCUUCCUCUGACCUCAUGGCUGGAAGGUUCUAACAAAGGCUUCUCAGUGUGGAGGGUGUUCCUUCCGUCUCCUCCUUGCCUCAUGAUUAUUCCUUCCCACACCCUAAGAUUUAGGACUGUCUGGGGGUCACAUGGGCCAGGCCACAGAAGCCCCGCCUUUGCCAUCCUGACUCUGCCGGGAUGGGGCUGGCUGGGCUCUGAAGUGAGCUUGAUGGCCUUCCCUGGAGCCACAUGCCUGUCUGAAACUGAGUGCCUGAGACAGUGACCAGGCAAAGGGAAGUGCAGAAGCAGGUCUCCCUCUGCACACAAUCCACCGGGCAUGUCCAGGAAAAAUUACUUCCACCCCUCUCCCCUUCUGCCCCUCUCUAUGACCAUCGGUAACCCACUGUCCAUUCCUGGGUGCCUGUCUGGCAGGCUCCUGGGGUAAAUGGACCUGAACUCUUUACUGUGUUCCCCUGGUCUUCCAGUAACUCCUCCCAGUGGUCUCACCACUCUACGACCUGCAAGCUCUCUUGGUAGGACAACUGCAUGCCGUUGCUCAGAAUGACUCCUGUGCUAGACACUGUGUUGCUAGUUGAGCACUCUGACCAAUCUCCUUUUAGCAAACCUGCUUGAACUACAGAAACUGGAAAGCUAAAAACUACAUUUCCCAGACUCCCUUGCAACAAGUCUAAAUGUGACCCAGGCUCUGAGGAGCAGACACAUUUACAUGACAUUUGAAAGGACAUGGUGCCAAGCAGUGGCUGUACAGAGAGAUCGGCCCCUCCUAGAGACCUAGUAUGUGUGAUUUUUCUGGGGCAGCUCGCAGAGAUGCUCAUGUCUAGUCCCCGGUAACCAAUGCUGGGUGUGAAUGGUGGUGCCAAGGGAGUUACUACUAGAGCAGUCCUGGUUCUCUAAGGUCCCUAAAACCCUGUCGUAAGUCGUUUUCUGCUUAAACUCCUUAGAGUGGCUUCUGUUGUCUGCAACUAGCAACAUUAAUCAAAACAACUUCUUAUCUUAUACCUUAGGUUU